GUUUAGCUCAGCUGGUUCAGAGCAUCUGCCUUACAAGCAGAGGGUCGGCGGUUCGAAUCCGUCAACGCCCACACCA
rnacentral:tRNA from 1 species